rnacentral:lncRNA from 1 species
CGGUUCUGAAAGGCAUUCUCUUGGAAAAGUCUGUGAAGACGCAAAGGAUUUUCCUGGAAAAAAAAGUAAUAAUAAAGUGGUCAUGUGUAAAGACACCGCAGCUCGGCUGCCUGCUAAAAACAUGCACACUCUCUCGGUGGAGAUAGAGCGGCGGACUGCAAAAUGCCCCACGGCCGAUUUUCGUCGUUUAAGCUUUUCGGGCCCGACGCUGCUUCGGCGAAGUCAAUUAUCAGCCUCUUCCUGCGCUACUGGGGCCAGGAUCGGGCCCCGCUCCCUGUUUGAA